rnacentral:RNase_P_RNA from 1 species
AGAGCAGGCGGAACGGCCGCCAUGUGCCUCCGGGUACAUGGAGGAAAGUCCGAGCUCCGCAGGGCAGGACGGUGGCUAACGGCCACCGGGGGCGACCCCAGGGAAAGUGCCACAGAGAACAGACCGCCACGCGAUCUUCAGGAUACGUGGUAAGGGUGAAAAGGUGGGGUAAGAGCCCACCGCCCCGGAUGGCAACAUUCGGGGGCACGGUAAACCCCGUCCGGAGCAAGGUUGAAUAGGUCCCGCUCUUCGGGCUGCCCGUUCGAUAUGCGGGACGGGUACAACCGCUAGAGCCUGAAGGUAACUUCAUGGCGUAGAUGAAUGGCCGUAUAAACAGAACUCGGCUUACUGCCUGCUCUGAAC